AGAGUUUGAUCAUGGCUCAGAACGAACGCUGGCGGCGUGGAUAAGACAUGCAAGUCGAACGGGACCAAGUCUGUAGUAAUACAAACUUGGUUCAGUGGCGCACGGGUGCGUAACACGUGAGCAAUCUGCCGGGAAGUGGGGGAUAGCUCGCCGAAAGGCGAAUUAAUACCGCAUGUGGCCAUUCUUCGAGUGGAGGAAAAGCCAAAGCAGCAAUGCGCUUCCUGAUGAGCUCGCGGCCUAUCAGCUCGAUGGCGGGGUAAUGGCCCACCAUGGCUUUGACGGGUAGCUGGUCUGAGAGGACGACCAGCCACACUGGAACUGAGACACGGUCCAGACACCUACGGGUGGCAGCAGUCGAGAAUUUUUCACAAUGGGGGCAACCCUGAUGGAGCGACGCCGCGUGGAGGAUGAAGGCCUUCGGGUUGUAAACUCCUGUCAUGCGGGAACAAGCAAGUGAUAGUACCGCAAGAGGAAGAGACGGCUAACUCUGUGCCAGCAGCCGCGGUAAUACAGAGGUCUCAAGCGUUGUUCGGAUUCAUUGGGCGUAAAGGGUGCGUAGGUGGUGAUGCAAGUCUGGUGUGAAAUCUCGGAGCUCAACUCCGAAAUUGCACCGGAUACUGCGUGACUCGAGGACUGUAGAGGAGAUCGGAAUUCACGGUGUAGCAGUGAAAUGCGUAGAUAUCGUGAGGAAGACCAGUUGCGAAGGCGGAUCUCUGGGCAGUUCCUGACACUGAGGCACGAAGGCCAGGGGAGCAAACGGGAUUAGAUACCCCCGUAGUCC
rnacentral:rRNA from 1 species